rnacentral:rRNA from 1 species
CAGCUAGUUGGCGGGGUAACGGCCCACCAAGGCGACGACGGGUAGCUGGUCUGAGAGGACGAUCAGCCACACUGGAACUGAGACACGGUCCAGACUCCUACGGGAGGCAGCAGUGGGGAAUCUUGCGCAAUGGGCGAAAGCCUGACGCAGCAACGCCGCGUGAGUGAUGAAGGCCUUCGGGUCGUAAAGCUCUUUCAGAAGGGACGAAACCGCCUCGGGACAAUACCCCGGGGCAUUGACGGUACCUUCAGAAGAAGCACCGGCUAACUCUGUGCCAGCAGCCGCGGUAAUACAGAGGGUGCAAGCGUUGUUCGGAAUUAUUGGGCGUAAAGCGCGUGUAGGCGGCAAGGCAUGUCGGGUGUGAAAGCCCUCGGCUCAACCGAGGAAGUGCGCCCGAAACUACUUUGCUUGAGUACCGGAGAGGAUGGCGGAAUUCCCGGUGUAGAGGUGAAAUUCGUAGAUAUCGGGAGGAACACCAGUGGCGAAGGCGGCCGUCUGGACGGAUACUGACGCUGAGACGCGAAAGCGUGGGUAGCAAACAGGAUUAGAUACCCUGGUAGUCCACGCCGUAAACGAUGGGCACUAGGUGUCGCGGGUGUUGACC